CCUGUCAGUUCAUUUACACAGCAGACCAUCCUGUUCACAGACGAUCUAAGUCUCCUGACUGAUUGGACCUUUUAUAGAUAGGUCCUAAUUGUGUCAGUCCCACCUGGUUCUGGGGAUUCGAACUCAGGCCCUCGGGUUUGCACAACAAGUGCUUUACCCACAUCUCCCCAGCCUCAGUUUCAAAACAGAGAUCUCACUAGAUGUCGUGGCCCAUGCUUAUAGUCCCAGAACACAGGGGGCUGAGGUGGAUUAUGAGUUAUUUUGUCUGAGUGAAUAGGAAUAAUAAGCACAUAAUUUUGAGAUGUUUUCAGUUAAUUUUUUGACAGCGUGACAGACAUGACAGGACUGUUAAGUGACUCAGACACAGGAGUUUCUGACACCCAUCUCAAGCCUUGCAGACACCUUCAGGUGUAACAUUCAGGGACCUCACAGAAACUGAGUAUAACUCACCGGCUUUUCCCAAUCUGAGGUACUUGAGGUCUCACCUAGCUUGGAGUCUCAAAGG